UGGGAUCCCACUGAAGAGAAUUGGCCUAUACCGACUCCCAACUGCACUUUAAUUCAUACAUGAGAGAUCCUUUGUUUCUCCCUUUUUGCUUAUUUAUAUAUGUGAGUGUCCACUUCACUUUGGCAAAUCAAGUUAAAGCAUUUCUUUAACUUCGCUCUUUCUCAGCUUGAAAUCGUUUUAGUUCAGUUCAGCCAUGUCCUUCCUCUCCGCCCUACCGGAACCACUCCAUUCCAUUGCACCAGAAAACGGUGGCCCGGAAGUGAUGAUAAGGAUGCAGAAUAGGCCCGAGCCACUUCAUUCUGUCGCACCUAAUCCAGAAAAUGGUGGCAGG
rnacentral:lncRNA from 1 species